rnacentral:rRNA from 1 species
GACGAACGCUGGCGGCGUGCCUAAUACAUGCAAGUAGGACGCAGUUGCGAACGGGUGAUUAACGCGUUGGUACCUGCCUAUUAGAGGGGGAUGACUAUUGGAAACGAUAGCUAAUACCGCAUACUAAUCGAUGGACCUGCGUUGUAUUAGCUAGUAGGUGGGGUAAUGGCCUAACUAGGCGACGCUACAUAGCCGACCUGAGAGGGUGAUCGGCCACACUGGGACUGAGACACGGCCCAGACUCCUACGGGAGGCAGCAGUAGGGAAUCUUCGGCAAUGGGGGGAACCCUGACCGAGCAACGCCGCGUGAGUGAAGAAGGUUUUCGGAUCGUAAAGCUCUGUUGUUAGGGAAGCGGUAAUUAACCAGAAAGGGACGGCUAACUACGUGCCAGCAGCCGCGGUAAUAC